rnacentral:rRNA from 1 species
AUGGGCUUUUCACCGCAUGCGAAGCAUUUCCUAGGCAUUGUUAUCUUGUUGCUUGCAUGCACCAUCGUCCACAACGCGACAGAGCUGAGUCUUCCCAUGCCGCUCCUGCGCUGGUUUCACGAUUUCCCAUACACCCACCACCUCCUCCUGAUGGGUCUUCUUCCCGCCACCGUGGCCGCCAUAUUCCUGACCAUGAAGUUGCGUCCCUGUACCGCAUACCUCAUCGACUAUGCUUGCUUUAAGGGUAGUACCAACUGCCGCGUCCCGAUUUCCACCUUCAUCGAGCAUAUGCACCUGACACCGUUCUUGGACGGUCGCAGCAUCAAGUUCAUGACGCGUUUGCUGGAACGCAGUGGCAUCGGCAACGAGUCGAACCUGCCCCCCACUAUCCACUACAUCCCCGUGUACCGAAGCUUGAUGGAAGCCCGUGCUGAAGCAGAGCUGGUCGUCUUCUCUGCCAUUGACGACCUGUUCGCGAAGACUGGCGCCGCCCCUGACGCCGUGAGCAUACUCGUCGUCAACUGCAGCGUAUUCGCCCCAGUGCCGUCCAUCAGCGACAUGAUCGUGAGCAGAUACAAGCUCCACCAUGACAUCCGCUGCCUAAACCUAUCAGGCAUGGGGUGUAGCGCGGGUGUGACGGCGGUGGGCCUCGCGACCAGGCUACUGCAGGCGACGCGGCGGCAACAUGGUGCGCAGUUCGCUAUGGUCGUCUCCACGGAAACGCUCACCUCCAACUUCUACGAGGGCAAGGAGCGGCCCAUGCAGCUGUCCAACAUGCUAUUCCGCGUGGGCGGCGCUGCCGCGCUCCUGUCCACGUCCAAGGAAAAGGCGCGGUUCCGUCUCAGGCACUUCGUGCGAACCAUCACGGGUGCCGCAAGUGAUGCCGCCUACAAGUGUAUCUUCCAGGAGGAGGAUGCCGAGGGACACUUAGGGAUGAACCUGUCCAAGGACCUCCCGGCCGUCGCGGCCGACGCUCUAAAGGCCAACAUCACUGCCAUCGGCCCCCUCAUCCUGCCACUCGCCGAGCAGCUGCUCUUUGCAUUACAUGCAGCAGCGUCUUUCGUAUGGAGCAAGCUGCCCAUCGACACCAAGCGGGUCUUCAGUCCGUACGUCCCGGAUUUCCGCAAGGCUUUCGAUCACUUCUGCAUCCACACAGGGGGCCCUACGGCGAUCGAUGGUGUACAGCGCAUCCUCGAGCUAUCGGACGAACACGUGGAGCCAGCGCGCAUGACCCUUUACAGGUUUGGGAACACAUCAAGCAGCUCAGUGUGGUACGAGCUGGCGUACGUCGAGGCCAAGGGCCGGAUGUCCAAGGCUGAUCGUGUUUGGAUGAUUGGGUUUGGGUCCGGGUUUGAGUGCGUUAGCGCUGUCUGGGAGUGCAUUCGGCCGGCGGACGACCCGGACAAAGCAUGGGCUGAGUGCAUACAUCGAUACCCGGCCGGUGAGCAUUCCCGUGCGCCGGAGAUCAUCGAAUGCUAG